UACGUAGGUGGCAAGCGUUGUCCGGAUUUACUGGGUGUAAAGGGUGCGCAGGCGGAAUUGCAAGUUGGAUGUGAAAUACCGAAGCUUAACUUCGGAGCUGCAUCCAAAACUGUGGUUCUUGAGUGGAGUAGAGGUAAGCGGAAUUCCGAGUGUAGCGGUGAAAUGCGUAGAUAUUCGGAGGAACACCAGUGGCGAAGGCGGCUUACUGGGCUCUAACUGACGCUGAGGCACGAAAGCAUGGGUAGCAAAC
rnacentral:rRNA from 1 species